GUCGAACGAGCACUGAGGUUUCGGCCAAAUAUGCUUAGUGGCGGACUGGUGAGUAACGCGUGAGGACCUGCCUUCCAGAGGGGGACAACAGUUGGAAACGACUGCUAAUACCGCAUGAUGGGGCAUCCCAAAGAUUUAUCGCUGGAAGAUGGCCUCGCGUCUGAUUAGCUAGAUGGUGGGGUAACGGCCCACCAUGGCGACGAUCAGUAGCCGGACUGAGAGGUUGACCGGCCACAUUGGGACUGAGAUACGGCCCAGACUCCUACGGGAGGCAGCAGUGGGGAAUAUUGGGCAAUGGGCGCAAGCCUGACCCAGCAACGCCGCGUGAAGGAAGAAGGCUUUCGGGUUGUAAACUUCUUUUGUCAGGGAACAUAGAAGAGGGUACCUGACGAAUAAGCCACGGCUAACUACGUGCCAGCAGCCGCGGUAAUACGUAGGUGGCAAGCGUUGUCCGGAUUUACUGGGUGUAAAGGGCGUGCAGCCGGGCUGGUAAGUCAGAUGUGAAAUCUGGAGGCUCAACCUCCAAACUGCAUUUGAAACUGCUGGUCUUGAGUACCGGAGAGGUUAUCGGAAUUCCUUGUGUAGCGGUGAAAUGCGUAGAUAUAAGGAAGAACACCAGUGGCGAAGGCGGAUAACUGGACGGCAACUGACGGUGAGGCGCGAAAGCGUGAGGAGCAAACAGGAUUAGAUACCCUGGUAGUCCACGCUGUAAACGAUGGAUACUAG
rnacentral:rRNA from 1 species